rnacentral:rRNA from 1 species
UACAGAGGUCUCAAGCGUUGUUCGGAUUCAUUGGGCGUAAAGGGUGCGUAGGUGGCGCCGUAAGUCAGGUGUGAAAUUUCGGAGCUUAACUCCGAAACUGCAUUUGAUACUGCGGUGCUUGAGGACUGGAGAGGAGACUGGAAUUCACGGUGUAGCAGUGAAAUGCGUAGAUAUCGUGAGGAAGACCAGUGGCGAAGGCGGGUCUCUGGACAGUUCCUGACACUGAGGAGCGAAAGCGUGGGGAGCGAACAGG